ACUAAUGUAACCCAGGUUAAUUAAAUUGAAUUAAAUAUUAGCCCUCUAUUUUUUUCCCUUUUGAGAGGGGAGUGACCUCAGUGAACCUCCAUAACUUAAGAAUAAUUGGUUUUCAUUUUAUUUUGUAUUUAUUUAUUUCCCUAUUUUAUUUUUCUUAAACAUGCCAUCAUCUCACCUGAACUCCGCUAAAAUCUUCAACCAAUCAGAACUCCUCCCACUUAUCAUAAACAUCCGGUUCACGAGAGGCAGAAUUGUUUGGUCACCCAAGACGGGACAACGAGUUUAUGAUUUACACAGCGGUCAGGUUUUUUGUGUAUGAACCUUACACCGUGGAGAUGGCGAGCUACAAUCUACGAGAUCUACCCUGCCUACAAGUUGGUAGGAUCUAAAAAGACAUUCGAACACGGAUCGAAAGACAUUUACUUUUUUUGUUUUUUUGAUGGACCCAAGAAGCGUUUUUUGAUUAAGAGGAUAUUUAUGU